rnacentral:rRNA from 1 species
AUUGAACGCUGGCGGCAUGCCUUACACAUGCAAGUCGAACGGCAGCACGGGAGCAAUCCUGGUGGCGAGUGGCGAACGGGUGAGUAAUAUAUCGGAACGUGCCCGGUCGUGGGGAUAACGUAGCGAAAGCUACGCUAAUACCGCAUACGAUCUAUGGAUGAAAGCGGGGGAUCGCAAGACCUCGCGCGAUUGGAGCGGCCGAUAUCAGAUUAGGUAGUUGGUGAGGUAAAGGCUCACCAAGCCGACGAUCUGUAGCUGGUCUGAGAGGACGACCAGCCACACUGGGACUGAGACACGGCCCAGACUCCUACGGGAGGCAGCAGUGGGGAAUUUUGGACAAUGGGCGCAAGCCUGAUCCAGCAAUGCCGCGUGCAGGAUGAAGGCCUCGGUUGGUUAACGUAGUCG